UGAUGUGAAAGCCUUUGGCUUAACCAAAGAAGUGCAUCGGAAACUGUCAGACUUGAGUGCAGAAGAGGACAGUGGAACUCCAUGUGUAGCGGUGGAAUGCGUAGAUAUAUGGAAGAACACCAGUGGCGAAGGCGGCUGUCUGGUCUGCAACUGACGCUGAGGCUCGAAAGCAUGGGUAGCGAACAGGAUUAGAUACCCUGGUAGUCCAUGCCGUAAACGAUGAGUGCUAGGUGUUGGAGGGUUUCCGCCCUUCAGUGCCGCAGCUAACGCAUUAAGCACUCCGCCUGGGGAGUACGACCGCAAGGUUGAAACUCAAAGGAAUUGACGGGGGCCCGCACAAGCGGUGGAGCAUGUGGUUUAAUUCGAAGCUACGCGAAGAACCUUACCAGGUCUUGACAUCUUGCGCCAACCCUAGAGAUAGGGCGUUUCCUUCGGGAACGCAAUGACAGGUGGUGCAUGGUCGUCGUCAGCUCGUGUCGUGAGAUGUUGGGUUAAGUCCCGCAACGAGCGCAACCCUUGUUACUAGUUGCCAGCAUUCAGUUGGGCACUCUAGUGAGACUGCCGGUGACAAACCGGAGGAAGGUGGGGACGACGUCAGAUCAUCAUGCCCCUUAUGACCUGGGCUACACACGUGCUACAAUGGACGGUACAACGAGUCGCGAACUCGCGAGGGCAAGCUAAUCUCUUAAAACCGUUCUCAGUUCGGACUGCAGGCUGCAACUCGCCUGCACGAAGUCGGAAUCGCUAGUAAUCGCGGAUCAGCAUGCCGCGGUGAAUACGUUCCCGGGCCUUGUACACACCGCCCGUCACACCAUGAGAGUUUGCAACACCCAAAGUCGGU
rnacentral:rRNA from 2 species